UAUUAAUAUAUAUAUAUAUAUAGUUGAGCUAGAAUACUCUCGAGAGUAAACGAGCCCGUUUAUUCUCGAGUUGUUUUCGAUGAUAGAGCUUCCAAAUUGACUAUCGGCUCCGUUAAAUAUGAUCUAAACCAUUUAAACUAUCUAGAAAUCAGAUUUCACGCACUUUCGAUAUUUUUUUAUAUCCAUCUAGUGAACAGAAAAAUAAAUGGUUGAAAAUAAAUAUUCUUUAAAAAAUGAUGAUAGGAGUCUUGUAAUCAAGAUUAAGAGUAUAGAUCUUGUUUUAAAUAGUUUAAAGAAUUUUCUAACAAAAAUUCAAUUGAUUUGGAUAUCUUUACACCGUUAAACGAGAAAACGUCUCUUAUCCACCAUUAAAAUUAUAAAUUUUGAAACCCUUUGAUCAUUAGGCAAAUGAUGUCGAAAAGAUUUGAAAUUUGAUUUCUAAACACUUCAAGUGGUAUAAAUCAUGUUCAACGGAGCCGAUCGUCAAUUUGAAAGCUCUAUUAUCGAAAACAACUCGAGAGUAAACGGGCCCGUUUACUCUCGAGAAUAUUCUAGCUCAACUCUAUAUAUAUAUAUCUAUAUAUCUAUAAACAUA
rnacentral:lncRNA from 1 species